UUAUCCACACGCGGCUGCCGGCGAUGAAUCACGGCCCCUACCUGGUGGGAGAGGCGCCGCUGGUGCCACUGAGGCAUUUCGCCAGUAAUGUAUAACGGGGGAGGACAUCAGACGCUCUUUCCAGACAGCCUGAGAGAUUGAUAUUCAAGCCAAAGGGAAAUGCAUUAAACUAUUUAACUGCCUGGAAAUCCAGCGUGAUGAACAUCCAAAGGGAACUCCCGGGGACGCCUUCCUAAAAACCAGCAGCACCCAGUGGCCUGAUAUCAGCGUGGCUUUACUGGCCGUAAUGCCAAUCACAGCUGGGCACUCAGAAGGACCGAAGCCGUUCUCCCAGCCCUCGGAGCUGCUGCAGCCCCGGGGUGUGCUGCUCUCCGUGCUGCCAAAUGAGCAAAUCGUGACCGUCCCUCUUCCUGAGGAUAUCAGGACAGCAGGUUGAGUGACAGAGCCGUUCGGAGCGGUGGCUGUCACUCAGAAAGCAGC